GAGUGCAUGUGACUAACGGAUCUGUUGACUCGAGGUUGUCUAUUGACGUGGAAUUCCACGUCAGUUAAAACUGGGCCCCACAUCAACCUUAUUUAACAUUCAGAAAUUGAUAAAAUUUCAUGUGGGGCCAUGUUUUAACUGGUGUAGAAAUUCCACGUCAGCAAACAACCUUGUGUUAACAGACCCGUUAGUCACGUGCACGC
rnacentral:pre_miRNA from 1 species